CCUACGGGUGGCAGCAGUCGGGAAUAUUGCGCAAUGGAGGAAACUCUGACGCAGUGACGCCGCGUAUAGGAAGAAGGUUUUCGGAUUGUAAACUAUUGUCGUUAGGGAAGAUAAAAGACUGUACCUAAGGAGGAAGCCCCGGCUAACUAUGUGCCAGCAGCCGCGGUAAUACAUAGGGGGCAAGCGUUAUCCGGAAUUAUUGGGUGUAAAGGGUGCGUAGACGGAAGAACAAGUUGGUUGUGAAAUCCCUCGGCUCAACUGAGGAACUGCCUUUGAAACUGGCAAACUGGAGUGUGUGAGAGGAUAGUGGAAUUCCAGGUGUAGGAGUGAAAUCCGUAGAUAUCUGGAGGAACAUCAGUGGCGAAGGCGACUAUCUGGCACAUAACUGACGCUGAGGAGCGAAAGCGUGGGUAGCAAACAGGAUUAGAUACCCGAGUAGUC
rnacentral:rRNA from 1 species